AUCGCUUCUCGGCCUUUUGGCUAAGAUCAAGUGUAGUAUCUGUUCUUAUCAGGUUAAUUUCUAAUACACACCCUAUCUGGAGACCACAUAUUACAUACAAUUUUGGAAUUGGGAGAUAGAAAAGGGGCUUGCCCCGUCUACUCCACGCAUCGACCUGAUAUUGCAGUACCUCCAGACACGGUGCACCCCCU